GUGAUGGGCUGGCAGCCCAGUGCGGGCUGUGCGAGGGGCAGGGGGAGGGCAGCCCUGGGGCUGUGGGGGGCUGAAAGCGUUGGAUAGUGAGACAGUUCUUGGGUUGAUAGUGGACAGCAAAAGAAUUGACAGGGAGAGAGUUGGUGGAUAGUAAGAAACCUAGUGUAUAGCAAGACAGUUGAUAGCAAGAAAAAUAGUUGGUAGUGAGAUAGUGGAAAGACAGUGCAUAGCAAGACAGAUGAGCCACGGAGACCUGGGACACCACUCUCCCCUCCAGCAUGUGAUGAGGACCAACGCCUGAUGCUGCUUCAGCGCCGGCAGAAGAACAGCAGCUCUGGGAACACCCGUCCUGCCAGCAGAGCAUCACAGGGAAGAGGACGCACCUUCUGCUCAGAGCUAGUUACUCUUCUCCUGUAAGCCGAGCUUUGACAGAGUUGAUGUCCAAAACAGCCGAGGAAGAACUGGACUGAAGAGGAGAGCGCCAGCUGACAGCGCCCGUCUGGUGUGAUGUGCCCAGAGAGAGACUCGUCCAGCAAGAGAUAGAGUAGAUAGGGAGCAUAGGGACCCAGUUAGCUCUAAAAUGUCUUAGUAGUGCAGUUGUAAGAAAGCUCUGUAAAUAAAUUGUAUGCCAUUGUUUUCAUAUCCUUACACUGUGUCCAAAACUGUGUUUGUUCGUAGCCCGAUAUGCCUAGAAAUAAAUGACAGAACAAUAAAUCUUUUCCUCUG
ensembl:lncRNA